GCCGAAGUAACUCAGUGGUAGAGUAGCUCUUUCGUAAAGAGCAAGUCGUGAGUUCAAAUCUCACCUUCGGCUCAA
rnacentral:tRNA from 2 species